CAGUCGCCGCGGUAAUACGUAGGUGGCAAGCGUUGUCCGGAAUUAUUGGGCGUAAAGGGCUCGCAGGCGGUUUCUUAAGUCUGAUGUGAAAGCCCCCGGCUCAACCGGGGAGGGUCAUUGGAAACUGGGAAACUUGAGUGCAGAAGAGGAGAGUGGAAUUCCACGUGUAGCGGUGAAAUGCGUAGAGAUGUGGAGGAACACCAGUGGCGAAGGCGACUCUCUGGUCCAUUCCUGACGUUCAUACACGAAAGCGUGGGGAGCAAACAGGAUUAGAGACCCGUGUAGUCCCUGUCUCUUAUAC
rnacentral:rRNA from 1 species